GGAUUGAACGCUGGCGGCAUGCCUAACACAUGCAAGUCGAACGGGAGUAGCAAUACUCUAGUGGCGGACGGGUGAGGAAUACGUAGGAAUUUGCCCUUAAGUGGGGGAUAACCCGGGGAAACCCGGAUUAAUACCGCAUGACCUCGAAAGAGCAAAGUGGGGGAUCGCAAGACCUCACGCUUUUGGAGAAGCCUACGUCGGAUUAGCU
rnacentral:rRNA from 1 species